UACGUAGGUGACAAGCGUUGUCCGGAUUUACUGGGCGUAAAGAGCGCGCAGGCGGUCGUUCAAGUCGAGUGUGAAAGCCCCCGGCUCAACUGGGGAGGGUCACUCGAUACUGAUCGACUUGAAGGCAGGAGAGGGAAGCGGAAUUCCCGGUGUAGUGGUGAAAUGCGCAGAUAUCAGGAGGAACACCGAUGGCGAAGGCAGGGCUCUGGGCAUUAAGUGACGCUGAGGAGCGAAAGCAUGGGGAGCGAACAGG
rnacentral:rRNA from 1 species